rnacentral:rRNA from 1 species
UACGUAGGGUGCGAGCGUUGUCCGGAAUUAUUGGGCGUAAAGAGCUCGUAGGCGGUCUGUUGCGUCGGCUGUGAAAACCCGAGGCUCAACCUCGGGCCUGCAGCCGAUACGGGCAGACUAGAGUUCGGCAGGGGAGACUGGAAUUCCUGGUGUAGCGGUGAAAUGCGCAGAUAUCAGGAGGAACACCGGUGGCGAAGGCGGGUCUCUGGGCCGAUACUGACGCUGAGGAGCGAAAGCGUGGGGAGCGAACAGG